GGCUUUGUAGUUCAGCCGGUAGAACGCUUGGUGUAAGUGACCACGCUGUUUUUGUUGCUGGUUCGAAUCCAGCCGAGGCUC